rnacentral:rRNA from 1 species
GUGGGGGAUAUUGCACAAUGGGGGAAACCCUGAUGCAGCGACGCCGCGUGAAGGAAGACGUACUUCGGUAUGUAAACUUCUAUCAGCAGGGAAGAAGAUGACGGUACCUGACUAAGAAGCCCCGGCUAACUACGUGCCAGCAGCCGCGGUAAUACGUAGGGGGCAAGCGUUAUCCGGAUUUACUGGGUGUAAAGGGAGUGUAGACGGUGAAGCAAGUCUGAUGUGAAAACCCGGGGCUCAACUCCGGGAUUGCAUUGGAAACUGUUUUACUUGAGGGCAGGAGGGGCAAGCGGAAUUCCUGGUGUAGCGGUGAAAUGCGUAGAUAUCAGGAAGAACACCGGUGGCGAAGGCGGCUUGCUGGACAGUAACUGACGUUGAGGCUCGAAAGCGUGGGGAGCAAACAGGAUUAGAAACCCCAGUAGUCC